rnacentral:rRNA from 1 species
GAUUCUGGCUCAGGAUGAACGCUAGCUACAGGCUUAACACAUGCAAGUCGAGGGGCAUCAUGAGGUUUGCUUGCAACCUUGAUGGCGACCGGCGCACGGGUGAGUAACGCGUAUCCAACCUUCCCCAUAGUAGGGCAUAGACCCGGCGAAAGUCGGAUUAACACCCUAUGUUCUCCUUGUAUGGCAUCUGAUGAGGAGCAAAGUUUUACGCUAUGGGAUGGGGAUGCGUCUGAUUAGGUAGUCGGCGGGGUAACGGCCCACCGAGCCAUCGAUCAGUAGGGGUUCUGAGAGGAAGGUCCCCCACAUUGGAACUGAGACACGGUCCAAACUCCUACGGGAGGCAGCAGUGAGGAAUAUUGGUCAAUGGGCGCGAGCCUGAACCAGCCAAGUAGCGUGCGGGGAAUGACUGCCCUAUGGGUUGUAAACCGCUUUUGCAGGGGAAUAAAGUGGCGUACGUGUACGCUUUUGCAUGUACCCUGAGAAUGAGGACCGGCUAAUUCCGUGCCAGCCGCUGC